AUUUCCCCUAGGAACAAUGGUUCAGUAUUUACUAAUUCAAUUCACAGAGAUUUUAUAGACCAUAACUACCAUGAAUAAUGAAAAUCAUUGUACCUAGGUUUGAAGCUUGAAUGCUAACCCAUCAGCAGCAGUGGUGAUCUGACAGGAUAAAGAAGAGGCUCUGCGCUCAAGUACAGGGUUCAAUAUCAGCAAGACAAAGGGAGAAUCUACAGCCGACCAGCACAUUUCUGUCCCUGCACCUGUCAUUAAACUCUUCUCACUCAACUGUCUCCUGCAAGAGAAAACACACUCCUUGUUCAAUUUCAAUCGAGAAAGAGAAUUCCCCAGAAAUUCAUGGAACCAUCUCCAUGCUGGAGCAAUAAAGCCAAUGACCCUCAGGUUGACAUGGGGUAAGAAAAGAGUUUCUCAGAAAUGUAUACCUCAGUCAUAAUCUUGGGUUGAGGAUGAG